UACGAAGGGGGCUAGCGUUGCUCGGAAUCACUGGGCGUAAAGCGCACGUAGGCGGAUUGCUAAGUCAGGGGUGAAAUCCUGGAGCUCAACUCCAGAACUGCCUUUGAUACUGGCGAUCUCGAGUCCGGGAGAGGUGAGUGGAACUGCGAGUGUAGAGGUGAAAUUCGUAGAUAUUCGCAAGAACACCAGUGGCGAAGGCGGCUCACUGGCCCGGGUACUGACGCUGAGGUGCGAAAGCGUGGGGAGCAAACAGG
rnacentral:rRNA from 1 species